ensembl:snRNA LOC120097203 U6 spliceosomal RNA
AUGCUGGCUUCCGCAGCACAUAUGCAAAAAUUGGAACUAUUCAGGGAAGAUUGGUGUGGCCACUGCGCAAGAGUAACUCACAAAUUCAUAAGGUGUUAAAAACAAAA